AGAGUUUGAUCGUGGCUCAGAAUCAACGCUGGCGGCGUGCCUCAGACAUGCAAGUCGAACGAUUAAAGCUCCCUUCGGGGAGUGCAUAAAGUGGCGCACGGGUGAGUAACACGUAAGUAAUCUACCUUCGAGUGGGGAAUAACAGUCGGAAACGGCUGCUAAUACCGCAUAAUGCAGCGGCAUCGCAAGAUGACAGUUGUUAAAGAUUUAUCGCUUGAAGAGGAGCUUGCGGCAGAUUAGCUAGUUGGUAAGGUAAUGGCUUACCAAGGCUACGAUCUGUAACCGGUCUAAGAGGACGGUCGGUCACACUGACACUGAAUAACGGGUCAGACUCCUACGGGAGGCAGCAGUCGGGAAUUUUGGGCAAUGGGGGAAACCCUGACCCAGCAACGCCGCGUGAAGGAUGAAGUAUUUCGGUAUGUAAACUUCGAAAGAAUAGGAAGAAUUAAUGACGGUACUAUUUAUAAGGUCCGGCUAACUACGUGCCAGCAGCCGCGGUAAG
rnacentral:rRNA from 1 species